rnacentral:rRNA from 1 species
AUUGAACGCUGGCGGCAUGCCUUACACAUGCAAGUCGAGCGGCAGCGCGGGGCAACCUGGCGGCGAGCGGCGAACGGGUGAGUAAUGCAUCGGAACGUGUCCAUGUCGUGGGGGAUAGCCCGGCGAAAGCCGGAUUAAUACCGCAUACGCCCGAGAGGGGAAAGUGGGGGACCGCAAGGCCUCACGCGAUUGGGUCGGCCGAUGUCCGAUUAGCUAGUUGGCGGGGUAAAGCCCACCAAGGCGAUGAUCGGUAGCUGGUCUGAGAGGAUGAUCAGCCACACUGGGACUGAGACACGGCCCAGACUCCUACGGGAGGCAGCAGUGGGGAAUUUUGGACAAUGGGGGCAACCCUGAUCCAGCCAUUCCGCGUGAGUGAAGAAGGCCUU